GGCGAGCCUCACAAACGUUAUUCGGAAUUACUGGGCUUAAAGGGUGCGUAGGCGGCGUAGAAAGUUGGGUGUGAAAUCCCUCAGCUUAACUGAGGAAGGGCGCCCAAAACUACUAUGCUCGAGGGAGAUAGAGGAGUGCGGAACUUAGGGUGGAGCGGUGAAAUGCGUUGAUAUCCUAGGGAACACCGGUGGCGAAAGCGGCACUCUGGAUCUCUUCUGACGCUGAGGCACGAAAGCUAGGGUAGCAAACGGG
rnacentral:rRNA from 1 species